UGGUUAGCUCUUUUUUUAACCCUUUUCGGUCCAAUGUCGAGGCUGACUCAACAGACCAGGCGCUAGUAGCAGGUCCAACGUCGAGGCUGACUCGACAGACCAGGUGCUAGGAGCAGGUC